rnacentral:rRNA from 1 species
UACGGGGGGUGCGAGCGUUGUCCGGAAUCACUGGGCGUAAAGGGCGCGUAGGUGGUUUGAUAAGGGUGUGGUGAAAGUCCGGGGCUCAACCCCGGAUCUGCCAUGCCGACUGUCAAACUCGAGGGCUGUAGAGGCAGACGGAAUUCCGGGUGUAGCGGUGGAAUGCGUAGAGAUCCGGAGGAAGACCGGUGGCGAAGGCGGUCUGCUGGGCAGUAACUGACGCUGAGGAGCGAAAGCGUGGGGAGCGAACAGG